GGCCCCGUAGCUCAGCUGGAUAGAGCAGCCGCCUUCUAAGCGGCUGGCCGGGGGUUCGAGUCCUCCCGGGGUCGCCA
rnacentral:tRNA from 3 species